UUCCGUAACCGACAUUUUUUAAAUAUACCAUCGAGACCAGAGAUGGACAUAUAAUUAACGAGUCCACCCAACAUGAUGAUCUGGAAUGAGCCGCAUGUGACCAGUAGGGCCACUAGAGAGCUGAAGAUCCAUGCUGGAGUAGAACGAGGAGGAAUGGAGUUUCUUUUGUUGUUUCUGUUGAGAGUAAAAAAGAAAAAGAGCUUUAAAGUGCCUUUAGAGCGGUCUGUUGAUAGAGCUGUAUUAGAGCUGAAAAGAUAACGUAGGCCACUGAAUAAACCAGCUUUAUCCAGGUUUAUGUUUACCAGGAUGUCUGUAGUUUACACUGUU